rnacentral:rRNA from 1 species
AUUGAACGCUGGCGGCAGGCCUUACACAUGCAAGUCGAGCGGAAGAACGGGGCCUGCCCCUGGGUGCAGCGGCGCACGCGGGAGAAAUGUACAUGAGUAUACGUCCUAGAGGGGGGGAACGCCCGGAAACAGGCGCUUUUACCCCACACACGCUGAGCGGAAAAGAGCGGGGGCUCCGGACCUCUCGCGCUCUGCGGAGCCCAGGUCGGAUUAGCUAGUUGGUGGGGUAAAGGCGUACCAAGGCGACGAGCCGUAACUGGUCUGAGAGAAUGAGCAGCCACACUGGCACUGAGACACGGCCCAGACUCCUACGGGAGGCAGCAGUGGGGAAUAUUGGACAAUGGGCGAAAGCCUGAUCCAGCAAUGCCGCGUGUGUGAAGAAGGACUUCGGAUUGUAAAGCACUUUUGUUGGGGAGGAAAGACAGUGCGCUAAUACGUUGGUGUGUUGACGUUACCAACAGAAUAAGCACCGGCUAACUACGUG